GACGAACGCUGGCGGCGUGCUUAACACAUGCAAGUCGAGCGGAGCGGCGAACGGGUGAGUAACGCGUGAGUAACUGACCCCCUCUCGGGGAUAAAAGUUGGAAACGGCUGCUAAUACCGGAGAGGGGGGGAUGGCUCGAGUCCUAACAGCUUGUAGGUGCGGUAGUGGCCUACCAAGGCGACGAGAGGUAGCCGGCCUGAGAGGGCGACCGGCCACAUUGGGUUGAGAUACGGCCCACACUCUUACGGGAGGCAGCAGUGGGGAAUAUUGCACCACGUGGGACCCCCUGAUGCAGCAACGCGCGUGCGGGAUGUCGGCCUUCGGGUUGUAAACCUCUUUGAGCCAUGCCGCGGUAUUGGCAGAAGAAGCACCGGCUAACUACGUGCCAGCCGCCGCGGUAAUAC
rnacentral:rRNA from 1 species